GGCUACCUGGCGCAAUGGUAGCGCGUUCGGCUUCGAUCGCCAACGGCUACUACUGGUCACGUUACCGAAAGGUUGCAGGUUCGAGUCCUGCGGUGGUCA